rnacentral:rRNA from 2 species
AGUCGAGCGACUGAUUAGAAGCUUGCUUCUAUGACGUUAGCGGCGGACGGGUGAGUAACACGUGGGGCAACCUGCCUGUAAGACUGGGAUAACUCCGGGAAACCGGAGCUAAUACCGGAUAACAUUUUCUCUUGCAUAAGAGAAAAUUGAAAGAUGGUUUCGGCUAUCACUUACAGAUGGGCCCGCGGUGCAUUAGCUAGUUGGUGAGGUAACGGCUCACCAAGGCAACGAUGCAUAGCCGACCUGAGAGGGUGAUCGGCCACACUGGGACUGAGACACGGCCCAGACUCCUACGGGAGGCAGCAGUGGGG